UCAAAAAUAAAUGAAAACAUUUUAAAAAAAUAACUUAAAAAAAAUUAAAAAGAGAGGCAAGGAUAAAUAUCAUAGAUAAAGGAAAACCACAGUUGUAAGCUUGAAGCAGACCUCAGCCAAAACUGGAGGAAUUAUGUCACAGGACUGGCAUAAGGAAGUCAGGAGGGUGGAGAUGAAGGUGUUGCAAAUAAAGUGCUGUGGAAACGUGCUGUCAACCUGUUGACGAGCACGGACGUUCAGGAAGUGGGAUUAUAAAGGCUCAGCACCACUUCUUUAAAAAGUGACAUCUAACUUCGUAUUUUACUUCAAAAUAAUGGCAGUUUGGGGAACGGUGGUACACCUGGCAUGUCUGACUUCAUGAGAAAAGCAUUCGAUGAGCUUUUUUUCCGUGGCAUCCUGGCGGACACGACGGGAACCUGAAGGUCAGAUAAGGCAAACUGCUAUUCCACAGAUGAGUUGAGUGAAUUAAAUAAUAAGGAAUCAACUACCUGAACGUGGGCAGUCGGGGAGCAUCAGAGGUUGGAAGGUCCAAUUACCAGGACACACACGGACUCUCUGGUGAGGACUGGGAAACACGGGGUGAUCUGCUCUGGCACAGCAGAGGGGAGAUGGCCCCCAACCUCCAGAUCCAGG